rnacentral:rRNA from 1 species
GUGAGGAAUCUUGCGCAAUGGGGGAAACCCUGACGCAGCAACGCCGCGUGAGUGAUGAAGGUCUUCGGAUCGUAAAGCUCUGUUGUAAGGGAAGAACGUCUCUGUAAGAAACAGGGAGUGACGGUACCUUACCAGAAAGCCACGGCUAACUCCGUGCCAGCAGCCGCGGUAAUACGGAGGGUGCGAGCGUUGUUCGGAAUUAUUGGGCGUAAAGCGCGUGUAGGCGGUUUGGUAAGUCUGAUGUGAAAGCCCCGGGCUCAACCUGGGAAGUGCAUUGGAAACUGUCAGACUUGAAUACGGGAGAGGGUAGUGGAAUUCCUAGUGUAGGAGUGAAAUCCGUAGAUAUUAGGAGGAACACCGGUGGCGAAGGCGGCUACCUGGACCGAUAUUGACGCUGAGACGCGAAAGCGUGGGGAGCAAACAGGAUUAGAUACCCUAGUAGUCC